UACGUAGGGGGCGAGCGUUGUCCGGAGUUACUGGGCGUAAAGCGCACGCAGGCGGUCUGUUAAGUUUGGAGUGACAGUUGGUGGCUUAACUGCCAAAGUGCUUCGAAAACUGACAGACUUGAGGGCUUCAGAGGGACACGGAAUUCCGGGUGGAGUGGUGAAAUGCGUAGAGAUCCGGAGGAACACCAAAGGCGAAGGCAGUGUCUUGGGGAGUACCUGACGCUCAGGUGCGAAAGCCAGGGGAGCGAACGGG
rnacentral:rRNA from 1 species